CCUACGGGAGGCAGCAGUAGGGAAUUUUCCGCAAUGGGCGAAAGCCUGACGGAGCAAUACCGCGUGAGGGAUGACUGCCUAUGGGUUGUAAACCUCUUUUUUCAGGGAGGAAUAAAUGACGUGUACCUGAAGAAUAAGCAUCGGCUAACUCCGUGCCAGCAGCCGCGGUAAGACGGAGGAUGCAAGUGUUAUCCGGAAUCACUGGGCGUAAAGCGUCUGUAGGUGGCUCAACAAGUCAACUGUUAAAUCUUGAAGCUCAACUUCAAAGUCGCAGUCGAAACUAUUGAACUAGAGUAUAGUAGAGGUAAAGGGAAUUUCCAGUGGAGCGGUGAAAUGCGUAGAGAUUGGAAAGAACACCAAUGGCGAAGGCACUUUACCGGGCUAUUACUGACACUCAGAGACGAAAGCUAGGGUAGCAAAUGGGAUUAGAUACCCCAGUAGUCCUAGCCGUAAACAAUGGAUACUAGGUGUUGAACAGAUCGACCUGUGCAGUACUAAAGCUAACGCGUUAAGUAUCCCGCCUGGGAAGUAUGCACGCAAGUGUGAAACUCAAAGGAAUUGACGG
rnacentral:rRNA from 1 species